CUUAGCGGCGGACGGGUGAGUAACACGUGGGUAAUCUGCCUUAUACAGGGGGAUAACAGUUAGAAAUGACUGCUAAUACCGCAUAAGCGCACGGGAACGCAUGUUUCUGUGUGAAAAACUCCGGUAGUAUAAGAUGAGCCCGCGUCUGAUUAGCUGGUUGGUGGGGUAACGGCCUACCAAGGCGACGAUCAGUAGCCGGCCUGAGAGGGUGAACGGCCACAUUGGGACUGAGACACGGCCCAAACUCCUACGGGAGGCAGCAG
rnacentral:rRNA from 1 species